UACGGAGGGUGCAAGCGUUAUCCGGAAUUACUGGGUUUAAAGGGUGCGUAGGCGGCUUGAUAAGUCAGGGAUGAAAGCCUAUCGCUUAACGAUAGAAUUGCCUUUGAUACUGUAAAGCUUGAAAGGGGUUGAGGUCAGCAGAAUGUGGCAUGUAGCGGUGAAAUGCAUAGGUAUGCCAUAGAACAACGAUUGCGAAGGCAGCUGGCUGGGCCUACUUUGACGCUGAGGCACGAAAGCGUGGGGAGCGUACAGG
rnacentral:rRNA from 1 species